UGUGAUACAGGCAGUCUUGAUCUCCCCAAAACCUAGCCAGCUCGCCGGCCACCCUGGGCCGCUUGCCUCGCCUGUCGGUGGCCGUCGUGAUCACCGGUGGUCGGCUGGUCGCCCUCCUCUAGCCAAAAAGUACAUGGUUCCAACAAACAAAAAGCAUGUUUACAGCAAAAACAAUGUAAGGUUCCAGCAAAAACAAAAAGGAUCCCGUCGCCGGUGGUUUUCCUCCUUCGAGCUUGUAGCUUCCGUCCUCUAGCAUGGCAUCGUCGUUGUAGCACAUGCAGCUCGAACACAUGCAGGUUUCAGCAUACGGCCACCAUGGUUGCAGCAUCUUGGCAUCCUCUUCUCUGGCUCGCCGCCGUCGUCUCGCACGGCCAUGUCCAGCAACAGAAAACUUCUUUUUUUUGCGGGAAAGCAACAGAAAACUUCAGUACUUGGUUGAAGCAAAAAGAUUUGUUAGUUCCAGCAAAACUUACUGGUGGUUCCAGCAAAAAUCUCAGCGGCAAAAAAACUCGGACAAUCGAUUGUAGCAAAAAAAAUAGCAAGUUCCAGCAAAAAUAAAUCAACCAUGAAAAACACCAGUGCCGGUUGUAGCAAUAAAAAGAGCCAAUUCCAGCAAAAUCACCUGCCGGUUGCAGCUUCCCAGCCGGUCCAGCAUCUCCAACCGAGGUCUCCACACGCAGUUAACACCUCGAGCUCGCCACGCCGUGUGUCUCCACGCGUAGCCGGCUGCCUCACAGCCUGACGACGUGGGUAGAUGUGGGGGAAAGGAGGGAGGAGAUAGGUGAUUGGGGAGAGGUUGUCUCACGGUAGAUAGGAGCAAAGAAGUUUCUCCAUGGCGGCGGAUGCAGGAGGAGGUAGCGGGCGCGUGAUGGGCUGAGAGAUCGAAGAAAGAAGAAGGGGAACGAGUGGCUAGCGAUCGUGUGUGCGAAACGAUAAGGUUGACUGCGUCACGCCUAGAUGCGUAUGGAAACUGUGUAAAGCGAGCGAGCCAUGCGAUCGGCCCAGCGUUGGGCCGGCGCUCCGGCUCGAAACAUUUCCCUUUGCUCAAGGUAAACGUUUCGCUUCGGCGCACCGGCCGAACGCUCGGCCGGUCGCGAGCGCCACGUACGCGGCCACAAGAGCCCGCACGCAGCCGUUCUUAUCCCCUCACCUCUUAUCCCUUUACCCCCUGCUCGCUUCUCCUCUCAUGUGCCUCUGCAUCUCGCGCAUAUCCAUUCCCUGCUUGCCUCUUUCCAUCUGCCUAGCUCCGGCCAGUGCCGCGGUUUCUCCGGCGAGCCCACCACCUGAGAGGCAUCCCCUGCUCCUCUCUUCACCUCUCUCCGUCUAGGACUUUCUCCUUUUAUCUUGUAGAACUCGUCGGUCGUUCCCUUCUCUGCUCCCCAACGCCCCCGUGUGACGGAUCACGGGUUGGAGGUUGAUGGAGGAGGAAGCACGCUAGGGGAGCUGCACCUGGUGGAUGGGAACAGCUGCAACCGGUGUUGCAAUUAGCGCUCGUCGCCAUGGCCGCCCGCAGCUGAUUUGCGCUCCUCUCCAUGGCCGCCACAACAAGAUUUUGCUACAACCAUUCUUUUUUUUGCUGGAACCAACCCAUGUUUUUGCUACCACCCACUCACUAGUAGAAAAGGGGGCAUCAGUCCCGGUUCGUAAGGGCCUUUAGUCCCGGUUC
rnacentral:lncRNA from 1 species